UACGUAGGGUGCGAGCGUUAAUCGGAAUUACUGGGCGUAAAGCGUGCGCAGGCGGCCGCGUAAGCCAGAGGUGAAAUCCCCGGGCUCAACCUGGGAAUGGCCUUUGGGACUGCGUGGCUCGAGUGCGGCAGAGGGGGGUGGAAUUCCUGGUGUAGCAGUGAAAUGCGUAGAUAUCAGGAGGAACACCGAUGGCGAAGGCAGCCCCCUGGGCCAGCACUGACGCUCAGGCACGAAAGCGUGGGGAG
rnacentral:rRNA from 1 species